UUGAAAAGAACUUUGAAGAGAGAGUUCAAGAGUACGUGAAACCGUUCAGGGGUAAACCUGAGAAACCCGAAAGAUCGAACGGGGAGAUUCAUCGUCAGCGGAGUUGGCUUCUCCGUGGCUCGUGAUGUCGGGACCCCGUGUCCACGGCACGCGGCCGCGGUGUUUACGCCCGACGACGCCGGCGUGCACUUCUCCCCUAGUAGGACGUCGCGACCCGUUGGGUGUCGGUCUACGGCCCGGGUGGCUGACUGUCACGGCGUUCGCGUCGUGGCAGAUCCCCGGUUGCCCGUCCGACUGCCCGGCGGUACCCGCACGGUAUAGAGCCGCAUUGAACUGCGUCGGGCCCGCCGCAAGCGCGGUCAGCGAUUCCCGGUGGUCGGACCUAGCGCCGUCCCCGGGCCUGGCCAGCUGUUGGCUGGCGGUGUCCUCUGACUGGCUCAUUCGAAUCAAUCAAAUACCGGUCGGCGACGCUAUUGCUUUGGGUACUUUCAGGACCCGUCUUGAAACACGGACCAAGGAGUCUAACAUGUGCGCGAGUCAUUGGGACACGCAAGCCUAAAGGCGAAAUGAAAGUGAAGGUCAGCCUAGCGCUGGCCGAGGGAGGAUGGGCCGCGUCACGAUGCGGCCCCGCACUCCCGGGGCGUCUCGUUCUCAUUGCGAGAAGAGGCGCACCCAGAGCGUACACGUUGGGACCCGAAAGAUGGUGAACUAUGCCUGGUCAGGACGAAGUCAGGGGAAACCCUGAUGGAGGUCCGUAGCGAUUCUGACGUGCAAAUCGAUCGUCGGAACUGGGUAUAGGGGCGAAAGACUAAUCGAACCAUCUAGUAGCUGGUUCCCUCCGAAGUUUCCCUCAGGAUAGCUGGCACUCGCGUACAAAACGUACACGAGUCUCAUCCGGUAA
rnacentral:rRNA from 1 species